AACUGAAGAGUUUGAUCAUGGCUCAGAUUGAACGCUGGCGGCAGGCUUAACACAUGCAAGUCGAGCGGGGGAAGGUAGCUUGCUACUGGACCUAGCGGCGGACGGGUGAGUAAUGCUUAGGAAUCUGCCUAUUAGUGGGGGACAACAUCUCGAAAGGGAUGCUAAUACCGCAUACGUCCUACGGGAGAAAGCAGGGGAUCUU
rnacentral:rRNA from 1 species